UUGGUGAUCUGGGGGCAGAGGGGGCUCGGCUGGCGGAUUGGAUGGAAUCGAGCUGUAUCCAGUCUGCCAUGGCUCUCGGGCUCUCCUCCAAGAAAGCCUCUUCCAGGAACAUCGCCGUGGAGAGGAAGAAUCUCAUCACGGUCUGCAGAUUUUCCGUGAAGACCCUGCUGGAGAAAUACACCACGGAGCCCAUUGAUGAUUCAUCGGAGGAGUUCAUCAACUUUGCUGCCAUUCUAGAGCAGAUCCUGAGUCACCGUUUCAAAGGUCCCGUCAGUUGGUUCAGCUCUGAUGGGCAGCGCGGCUUCUGGGAUUACAUCCGCCUGGCCUGCAGCAAGGUCCCCAACAACUGCGUCAGCAGCAUCGAGAACAUGGAGAACAUCAGCACUUCUAGGGCCAAGGGCCGGGCCUGGAUCCGCGUGGCGCUGAUGGAGAAACGUAUGUCGGAAUACAUCACCACAGCCCUGAGGGACACCAGAACCACCAGAAGGUUUUACGACGACGGGGCUAUCAUGCUGCGAGAGGAGUCCACUGUGCUCACUGGGAUGCUGAUCGGCCUCAGCGCCAUUGACUUCAGUUUCUGCUUGAAAGGGGAAGUAAUGGACGGGAAAACCCCUGUGGUCAUUGACUACACCCCAUAUCUGAAGUUUACACAAAGCUAUGAUUACCUGAGUGACGAGGAGGACCGGAGGAGCAUGGAGAGCAGCACGAGCGAGGAGAGCUCCCCCGAGCACCCCUACCAGCUGCUGGUCACCGACGAGGACAGCUGGUACAACAAGUGGCGUAAGAUGGAGCAGAAGUUCCGCAUCGUGUAUGCGCAGAAGGGAUACCUGGAGGAGCUGGUGCGGCUCCGGGAAUCCCAGCUGAAGGACCUGGAGGCGGAGAACAAGCGUCUGCAGAUGAGGCUGGAGGAGGUGAAGGUGCAGAACCAGCUGGAGAAGAGGGAGCUGGAGGGCGUCAUCCUGGAACUGCAGGAGCAACUGACGGGCCUGAUCCCCUGUGAGAACACCCAGCUCUCCAAGGAGAUGGCCACGCCGCUGGCGAACCAGUGGCCGUCGCUGGGGACCCUCAGUGGGAAUGAGAGCAGGUCAGACGCCAAGCUGUACAGGAGGCACAGCUUCAUGAGCACGGAUCAGCUGUCGGCGGAGAUCAGCCUGAGCUCGGAUUCCCAGAGGCUAGGGGAGGGGAAGCAAGAAGGAGAGCCCUGGGGGCCAUUGGGGAAGGACCCCACCCCAUCCAUGCUGGGGCUCUGCGGCUCCCUGGCCUCCCUCCCAAGCUGCAGGUCCCUGGCCAGCCUGAAAUCUAACGAAUGCCUGGUGAGUGACAGUAACGAAGCCAGCCCCACCCACAGCCCCAGUUGAGACGCUGGGCGGCGCCACUUGUCCUGGGAUUGGCAGGUCCCACCGGGGAGCCAGGAGGCGAACCAAGGAGCCGCCACCAUCUCAAACCAAUGGGACCAAAGCGACAGGCAAAUGGACCUUACUGAACUUCUUGAGGGGCUGGGGCAGCCAGCCCCACCCUGGCUUAUUCGCUGCAUCCUUACAGAUGUGGGCCCCAUUCCUACCAAGGGACGUUUAACUGAGUGCUUAAUAUUCUAAGCUCGUACGGAGCUGGAAGGAUCCCAACGUGCUUUGUGAAAUGUGCUGCAGAAAAGCAGCCACCUCUGGGGUGGACCAAGGCAGCCGUUUAACCACUGUGCUGCACAGCAGCUGAAGGACAGGGCGUGAAGAAGGAUCCUGCACCUGACUGAAAUUGCAAAAGUGGGAGGAGUUGGGGGGGGAGGACAUAAAUCCUGCAUCUGGAGUUUUCGCUUGGCCAGAAAGGGUGAAGAGUGGAGGCGGGGUGGGGCACUGUCACAUGGCCAUGGCCUCCCCUUGGGGCACGCCCUUGCCAGUGUCCCACCCUGGGGACUUUAUCAUUGCUCUGGAACCAGCUGAUUGGGGCCGAGAUGCCUCCUCCCAUCAGGACACUGUGUGGCCCCCUAGGCAGUGAGAAGCCCAGAGCAGGGAGUUUGGGGGCUGGGAAGGGGAAGAGCUGUCAGCUCAUACCUGCUUCCCUCUGCCCUGCACCACAGCCAUGGACUCUUGUGCCCUUCUGCCACGGGCCGGAUGCUUUGACAUAGUUGCUUUGCAGCCCAAGGGGCUGUCUGCCCCAUGGAGGGCUCAAGCACCUGAUGAGAGAAUUCCACAGAGGCGCCCUCGAUCCCUAAGCAAGGUCCUAGCAUCUUCCGUCCUAUUACAGAGCAGGGUGCAGCAUUCGUUUGUUUGAAGGAUACUUGAAAACAACACAUGGAGGAGAUUGCCUGUGUGUCCAGAGAGGGGAGGACCCUGCUGAUGUGCACUCUCAAGUGCUCAGAACUUGAUUGAAUAAAUUGAACAUUGAGAAGUUUCCACUGCAAGCAGAAAACCGACCUCCAAGACACCACAAAUCUGCUACCACUUGGCCAAGAGGCAACAGCAGGAAGCCAGAG